UAUCACUCUCACGUCAUUAUUUUGAAAGAACAUUGUUUCCAUAGCAACCGGAACUUUUAAUGGCUGCUGAGAUGACGCAAUGACUUUACCAAUCAGCCAUUGGCUCUUCUAUUUAGAAGGCGCGAGCGCGAUAUCUACUUGCCAAUGCGUUGCACAGUGCACUCUUUCUCCCAUGCGUGAAAAUUUCGGUUAGUUGCCCAUCUUUGUCGAGUUUUUCCACGGAUGAACCAAUUCAGAAAAUAAUUGAAGCUGGAAUACAGAUUAACGAAGAAGAGGCAAGGAAAUUCAGGGGAAACUUGUGUUGGGGAGGAUUCAUGAUCUGUUGAGGCCCAUGUGAACGUUCUACAAAGUGAGUAUCGGAAGACACAUCCAGAAAUCUCGACUGUCAAAGACUGCAUGGCACAAACAUUCUCCUGGAGACGUCAAGAAAUCAUGGAAGGAAUGUCUGUGGAGGAUGUAGUCAAAUAGUACCCAUACUUAAGAACGCCUGCUGGAGUGAGUAUUGAAAACACCUGAAUGUUACAAGAAGGCAAUCUAUUAUGAUUUUGGAAAUUGUGAAAUUGAAGACAUGUCGAUUGCUGUCACAGAAAAUAAACAUUUCUGAAAAUAUAUCUGUAAAGGCUACAGUAUAGAAACCUAACAGCAUUUUAUGAAAUAAAAUUGCUUUCAGUGAUGCACUGAAUAUUAAUCCUGUCUUCACAUUCUACAGGUUGUUUCCUUUUUUUUUUUUUUUUUUUUUUUUUUUUUUUUUUGAUGAUGAGAUUGACUGAAUCGUUUCAGAGAGGGCUUCACUAGAGUUCUGCCAAAUGUGCUAAAACUUGCCAAGGCAAAAUCCCCCCCCUAGCAAAACAGUACACUGAAACAAGACAGGAUGCCCUGGCUGAAGAUCUACCAGGGGGACCCUGCUACACCCUUUCCAACCAUUCAACUGAUGGAGAAUGCCCUCUUCCAAUGAUUGCCAUUUUCCAAUCGCAGUGUGGUGACGGUAGAUGAAAUGGUCAUGUGCCAGUGCACCAGCCUUGACGAAGCCUUCAUGACAGCCGUCUGUAUUUGUUUCAACACUGCAUAUCCACCACACCUGAAGAUAAUUCUGAAGCCUACCUCUCUCAUAGUAAUGUAGUGUUCAAACUUUUCUCUAAAGAUGGAUGGCAAGAGGAUAAGCCCAGCCCUUAAGUCAAUUCCUGAAUGUAGAAAAAUAUUCUAGUUUCACAAUCACAUAUUUUGCAAUGUUGUAAAGCAAAUUACAUAUAUUGUGAGUUUCACUAGCAAAGUGACUGUUUGGACAGAUCAAGUACAUACUUAACUUUGAUACCACAUGGAUGCUUUGCAGUAAGAUCUUGCUUCCAUCGUCCUUUGAUUCACAUUUUCAUGCAUAUCCUGUAAGAGUAGACAGUGACUGGAUUUUGCUUAAACCUGGAGAUGAGUUGGACCACACAUCGCUUGACACAUACAGUUGAUAAUCUGUAUGUUGGAUUGAGACAUUUUGUGUAAAUGCUUGCUGGUCUUUGGCAAGGUCAUAUGAAUAGGAUGCUUAGUGUACAGGUAUGCCAAAAAUGAAACUUGUCAUUUACUCCCCCUCAUGUUGUUCCAAACCUACAUGAAUUCUUUCUUCAGUUGAACACAGAAGAUACUUUGAAGAAUGUUGGUAACCAGACAGUUGACGGUAGCCAUUGACUUGCAUAGUAUUUUUUUUUUCUUCUAAUAUGGAAGUCAGUGGCUACCAUCAAAUGUCUGGUUACCAACAUUCUUCAAAAUAUCUUCUGCGUUCAAAUGAAGAGAGAAUUCAUAUAGGUUUGGAACCACAUGAGGGUGAGUAAAUUACAGGAUUUUAAGUUUUUGGGUGAACUCACUGUCUGUUUAAUGCAAGUCUUCUGUACAGAUUUGUCAGAUAUGUUGUUUAAUGCCCAAAAUACAAGUUGACAUGCUGAUAGCGAAUGGUUGGUCUAAAGAGGGUCAAAAGUGUUUAAAAAAAAAAAAAAAAAGUGCAAAAGCUCAAGGAUAGGAUGUUAAAAUGCUUGAGAGUUUAGUAUUUAAAACUGAUUAAUGAACUGCUCAUUGGGCCCGACGCUUUCAGUUUUGUAUUUACACUCUGAAGGAAUUGUAACGCAUUGUACAUGUUCAUUUGAAAUAUUUUUUUUAACAGGUUUAA